rnacentral:rRNA from 1 species
GACGAACGCUGGCGGCGUGCCUAAUACAUGCAAGUAGAACGCACAGUUUAUACCGUAGCUUGCUACACCGUAGACUGUGAGUUGCGAACGGGUGAGUAACGCGUAGGUAACCUGCCUGGUAGCGGGGGAUAACUAUUGGAAACGAUAGCUAAUACCGCAUAAUAUUGAUUAUUGCAUGAUAAUUGAUUGAAAGAUGCUAUUGCAUCACUACCAGAUGGACCUGCGUUGUAUUAGCUAGUAGGUGAGGUAACGGCUCACCUAGGCGACGAUACAUAGCCGACCUGAGAGGGUGAUCGGCCACACUGGGACUGAGACACGGCCCAGACUCCUACGGGAGGCAGCAGUAGGGAAUCUUCGGCAAUGGACGAAAGUCUGACCGAGCAACGCCGCGUGAGUGAAGAAGGUUUUCGGAUCGUAAAGCUCUGUUGUAAGAGAAGAACGGGUGUGAGAGUGGAAAGUUCACACUGUGACGGUAUCUUACCAGAAAGGGACGGCUAACUACGUG